AGCCUGUGAUGACACUUGAUAAACUUUUCUGACACCUCGUAUGAACGCUGCUAUGGCAGUACCUGAUUACAUUUAUUCUCUGAGGCUC